rnacentral:rRNA from 1 species
GAUAAACGCUGGCGGCGUGCCUUAUGCAUGCAAGUCGAACGAGACCAAGGCUUCGGCCUGAAGUCUAGUGGCGGACGGGUGAGUAACACGUACGUGACCUGUCCGGAAGUGGGGAAUAACCAGCCGAAAGGUUGGCUAAUACCGCAUACGGUUACUGCUUGGAAGCAGCAAACCAAAGUCGCAAGACGCUUCCGGAGGGGCGUGCGGCCGAUUAGCUUGUUGGUGUGGUAACGGCGCACCAAGGCGGUGAUCGGUAGCUGGUCUGAGAGGAUGGUCAGCCACACUGGGACUGAGACACGGCCCAGACUCCUACAGGAGGCAGCAGCAGGGAAUUUUGCGCAAUGGGCGAAAGCCUGACGCAGCAACGCCGCGUGGGGAUGAAGGCUCUUGGGUCGUAAACCCCUUUUGCCGGGAAGAUAAUGACGGUACCCGGCGAAUAAGCCACGGCUAACUACGUGCCAGCCGCCGCU